GAUGAACGCUGGCGGCGUGCCUAAUACAUGCAAGUCGAGCGAAUGGAUUAAGAGCUUGCUCUUAUGAAGUUAGCGGCGGACGGGUGAGUAACACGUGGGUAACCUGCCCAUAAGACUGGGAUAACUCCGGGGAACCGGGGCUAAUACCGGAUAACAUUUUGAACCGCAUGGUUCGAAAUUGAAAGGCGGCUUCGGCUGUCACUUAUGGAUGGACCCGCGUCGCAGUAGCUAGUUGGUGAGGUAACGGCUCACCAAGGCAACGAUGCGUAGCCGAGCUGGGAGGGUGAUCGGCCACACUGGGACUGAGACACGGCCCAGACGCCUACGGGAGGCAGCAGUAGGGAAUCUUCCGCAAUGGACGAAAGUCUGACGGAGCAACGCCGCGUGAGUGAUGAAGGCUUUCGGGUCGUAAAACUCUGUUGUUAGGGAAGAACAAGUGCUAGUUGAAUAAGCUGGCACCUUGACGGUACCUAACCAGAAAGCCACGGCUAACUACGUGCCAGCAGCCGCGGUAA
rnacentral:rRNA from 1 species